ensembl:snoRNA Small nucleolar SNORD12/SNORD106
AUUGUGGUUAAUGAUGUAGUACUUUUUUCCCCGUCAUAUCGACCAUGGUGAUUACUCGAACUAAGCCAGUUUUGUCUGAAACCAUACA